GGAAGAAGGAAGGAGUCCCUUAGCUCUCUUCAUUGUCCCCUUUACUUCCUGCUAUCUUCUUCUCCUCUUCCUCUCUUUCUCGCCUCUAUGCCUGUAUUUCUGGCAAUAUGACAGGCCUGCCUGCCCAAGAUCAGAACUCCAAAACCACUCCCACCCCUGAAGGUCGGGAGGGUCUGAGCAGCCCUGGUGGCUGCCUGUGCUCAGGUCCUCAGCUCCAUGGGAAAUAAAAAUGGCACCCUGAAUCUCUAGGAUUUUGUCACUUGGAGUCACAGCAAAGUUCUCUUCCUCUUCUCCCCCCGUUGCUGCUCCUUGGUUAUAGAACAUGGUAAAUAUUUAUUACUUUCAGAGAAACCAGAUAUUUUAUAGAGGAAAUAUGUUUGAGGUGAGUUGUUUUUCACUUGGAGAAGGCGGAGGGCUCUUCCUGGGACGGAGACCUCCUCCUCCGGAGACCUACCAUGAAAGGAAUGAGCCCUAGACUGACUCCUGCAGCACCCCCGGGACAGGCUGGGACCAGCUGUUUGUCUCCAGGUGUCAGAGUCCCUCCUCCUCCUCCAACCUCUCCAACCUACUUUGUUUGGAAAUACUGAGCUACACUUCAAAAUGUAUUCAAGGGAUUUCCAAUAAAUUUUUUUCUGUA
rnacentral:sRNA from 1 species